AUACGAAGGGGGCUAGCGUUGUUCGGAAUCACUGGGCGUAAAGCGCGCGUAGGCGGUCUAAAAAGUCAGGUGUGAAAGCCCGGGGCUUAACCCCGGAACUGCACUUGAAACUAUUAGACUAGAAUUCGGUAGAGGUUAGUGGAAUUCCUAGUGUAGAGGUGAAAUUCGUAGAUAUUAGGAGGAACACCAGUGGCGAAGGCGACUGACUGGGCCGAUAUUGACGCUGAGGUGCGAAAGCGUGGGGAGCAAACGGGAUUAGAAACCCUAGUAGUCC
rnacentral:rRNA from 1 species